rnacentral:rRNA from 1 species
GUACGCUGGCGGCACGCCUAACACAUGCAAGUCGAACGCAGUAGCAAUACUGAGUGGCAAACGGGUGAGUAUAAUGUGGGAAUCUGCCUUUUGGUUUGGAAUAACACGGGGAAACUUGUGCUAAUACCGAAUAAGCCCUUACGGGGAAAGUUUUAACGCCGAAAGAUGAGCCCGCACUUGAUUAGCUAGUUGGUAAGGUAAAAGCUUACCAAGGCAACGAUCAAUAGCUGUUCUUAGAGGAAGACCAGCCACAUUGGGACUGAGACACGGCCCAGACUCCUACGGGAGGCAGCAGUGGGGAAUCUUGCACAAUGGGGGAAACCCUGAUGCAGCGAUGCCGCGUGAGUGAAGAAGGCCCUUGGGUUGUAAAACUCUUUCGUCGGGGAAGAAAAUGACUGUACCCGAAUAAGAAGGUCCGGCUAACU